ensembl:lncRNA
AUAAAAGUGCCUUUGACAUGUUGACACAGCAGAAAAAACUAAAAUUAAUUACUGUGACUUUGUACUGCAUCGAGAGCUUCAAAACUGCAAGCAGUGACACAUCUGCCUUACGAGAUAAAGAAUAUAUUUUCAUAACCUCUUGGCCGCCUCUACUCAGAACCUAAAAAGACAUCCUAGGAACCAGAUUUUUUUUCCUCCCCUGAGACAGCAGCUGUUCUAGAUACCUGUACCUGGCAGUGAGAAGAGGUGGGGUCUUCCUUGCCUGGGCUGGACCACUUCAUACUGUAUCAUCUCUCGCUGUGGCAAGGCUCAGUUUCCUAUCACCAAGGCCUUUUCUCCUAUUUCACUAUUAAAGUAAAGCUUAUGGUUCUGCAUUAUUGUCUGUUUUGCAUUCUUUUGGGGCAAUUACCUUUCGUUUGCCACCAUUUAGUUUCACUCAUUGCCGCAUUCUUCGUUUCCUCACAACUGCUAGAUUUUUUUUCUCUGCAAUCUCUGUACCCUGCUCUUUAUUCCUCCCAGUCAGGCUUAUCCCUUUCUGCAGAUCUGAAGGCAUGCUGAGUAUCAUCUCCCCAGCAGAACCUGAGGUACAUUUUUACAGGUACUUUCUAAGAGCUGCACAUCUAUUACCACGCUUUAAGUCUCUUACAUGAGAAAUUCCAAUCUGUUCUAGAACUCCACAUUUACACAUUAUCUAGCUUCCAGAACAGACUCACCGAAGAUUUCCUGUUCCUCUCAUCAUUUACACAUUGCCAGUUCAAGAUUCUGUUGUUUUGUUGCUGUUUUUUAUUCCAGGAACUCUGAAGGUGACCUUUGCUGGCCUCAGACCAGCUCAGACUCCCACAGAUAACAGUGAUGAAGUAGUUAUUUUUCUGAGAAGCUAAAGAAGGAAAACCACUGUUUUAGACCGUGGAGUUCACACUCAGCUAUGCUUCUAAAUACAUUAACGUGGUUUAAAGUAAUAACUUUAAGUUAUGAGCUCCUUUCUCACACAAUUAAGGUUGCCAUUCCCCUUGAGCUCGGCAGGAUGGAUUUGCCUUUCCCUAGCAAACUAUUUCACUACUGUGAGCCAAAUAUCAAGCACCUGAAGGACAACAUCCAUGUGGUAUGGAGCCUAUUCUUUGGCAGCAUUAACACAGCAAUAUCCUAUACAUAAUUAUUACUUUCACAUCACCAUUCAUCACACCAUAGUGAGCACUGCGUUAUGGUGCUCCAAAAAAAAAAAACAAAAACAAAAACCAAAAAACACCCAAACCACAUUCAGCAGAGAAACCACAAAGAAAUACAAAAGCAGCAAAGAGAACAUAAAAUUCAUGUAUGAGGGUAUUUUACUUCACCCUUCACCGAGACUUUUAAAGGCAUCACUUGGCCUACUUGGAACUUCACAAUAUACAGAUCACUCCCCAAGGGUCAGCCUUAUGCAAGCAGUCACGUUGCCCUAAAUCUUGCCUCAAAGACAUUAUGAAGGCUGUAUCUUUGGGCUUGUACUUAUCAGUUCCUUUAUUUAGUAGAUUAUCCAGGAUGCAAAGCCAAACUAAAGACACUGAAACAACACAGAGGUAGGUACGCUUUUAAUAACCACCUUAGCACAGGAUGCAUCCAUUAGUUCUGCAUAACCACUCAUGAACCCUACAGCUCCCUGCAAGCCCACACAACACUAAGCACCUUCCAAAAGGCCCUACAGAGCACAUCCCCUAGCUGCUCUUAGGAAAAGGACUAAAAGAAAGGAAGCAAGAGCUCUAGCAACAAGGCUUGUAAAGCAGCCUCUACAAGAUAGCACAAGGAGAACCUGCAAAGACCCUCUAAUGCUGCAACUGCAACAACCGCAGUAGCAACACACCCACCCCACCAACCCACGCCCUCAGCGCCGCCGCCAUUUUACCCCAUCCCCCCUUC